rnacentral:lncRNA from 1 species
CCAGGAUAAGCGUCGUUGGGGCAGGUCCUGGGUAGAGUCCAGGUUGGCGGGUCCUGGGGCGGAGUCAGGAUAGGGCGAUCCUGGAAGCUGGGCUUCAGAAGCGUCCAGCUGGGGAAACUGAGUUACAGAGCUUUUCUGCACUGAGUCAUCAGGAGCAAAUGCUAGAUCAGAUAGGGUCUCUCUCUCUGCCACCCAGGCCAGAGUGCAGUUGACGCAGGGCAGGGGAGCCCCGAAGUGGAGCAUAGUGUGUCCGGAACUGGUGGGUUCUUGGUCUCACUGACUUCAAGAAUGAAGCCGUGGACCCUCACGGUUCAAGCGAUUCUCCUGCCUCAGCCUCC